AGCGUGGAGACAGGUGGUGCAUGGCUGUCGUCAGCUCGUGUCGUGAGAUGUUGGGUUAAGUCCCGCAACGAGCGCAACCCUCACCCCUUGUUGCCACCAGGUCAGGCUGGGCACUCUAGGGGAACUGCCCCGGUCAACGGGGAGGAAGGUGGAGACGACGUCAAGUCAUCAUGCCCCUUACGUCCUGGGCUACACACGUGCUACAAUGGCCGGUACAAAGGGAUGCAAGACUGCGAGGUGGAGCUAAACCCAAAAAGCCGGCCUAAGUUCAGAUUGGAGUCUGCAACUCGACUCCAUGAAGGAGGAAUCGCUAGUAAUCGCGCAUCAGCACGGCGCGGUGAAUACGUUCCCGGGCCUUGUACACACCGCCCGUCACACCACGAAAGCCAGCUGUACUCGAAGUCGCUGAG
rnacentral:rRNA from 1 species